GACGAACGCUGGCGGCGUGCCUAAUACAUGCAAGUCGAGCGAAGUUUUUCUGGUGCUUGCACUAGAAAAACUUAGCGGCGAACGGGUGAGUAACACGUAAAGAACCUGCCUCAUAGACUGGGACAACUAUUGGAAACGAUAGCUAAUACCGGAUAACAGUAUUUCUCGCAUGAGAGAUAUUUAAAAGUUGGUUAUGCUAACACUAUGAGAUGGCUUUGCGGUGCAUUAGCCAGUUGGUGGGGUAAAGGCCCACCAAGGCGACGAUGCAUAGCCGACCUGAGAGGGUGAUCGGCCACACUGGGACUGAGACACGGCCCAGACUCCUACGGGAGGCAGCAGUAGGGAAUCUUCCGCAAUGGGCGAAAGCCUGACGGAGCAACGCCGCGUGAGUGAAGAAGGAUUUCGGUUCGUAAAGCUCUGUUGUUAGGGAAGAAUGGAUAUGUAGUAACUAUACAUGUAAGAGACGGUACCUAACCAGAAAGCCACGGCUAACUACGUG
rnacentral:rRNA from 1 species